rnacentral:lncRNA from 1 species
UUCGCUAAAAGCCAGUGAGUUAUAGAAGGAUUAAUUAGUAAUUAAAUUGCUAAUUGAUUCAAUUUGAUUGAACAAUAGGACUAAAAUUAAGUCUAAUUGAAUUAGAUUCAAUUUAGAUUGAUUUUGAUUUGAUUAGAUCAAGUCUGAUUAGAUUAUGAGAUAAUCUAAUCUCAAGGGAGAUCAAUUCCUUAUUUAAUUAAGAUUUGGGUUUGACCUAAUUGAAUUAGGAUUUAACCAAGAGAUUUUGGGUUCCUAUUUGGACUAGAAAUUCUUCUCUAAUUGGGCACAACCAAUCUCUAAUUGGUUGGAAAUUAGUUAUGAUUUUUAUGAAGCACCAAGUGAGAGUCCCAUUUAACUGAGACUCUCUCCCCCUAGCGCCCCAUUAAACUGCAUGCCAUAAGUUGUCCUGCCCCACAUCUUCACAUGCGCCUUAUUUUUUGCAUGAGAAAUACGCCAUGCCAAAAGAUGUUUCAUGCCCUCUCUUAUCCCCUUUAGAGAUUAGGAUUUGGUUUAAUUUGAAUUUGAAUUAGUUUGAAUUCAAAUCAAAACCCUAGCCUAAUCCUAUCCAAAUUCCUUGGAUGCCUACCAUAAAAGAGGUUUCUUUUGUGCGUUAAACUUGAUUUAUCAUUGUAAAAAUAGAUGGGAGGUGUGAGGAAAAAUUAAGAGAGGCAUGGGCUACCUUUUGGCGUGAGAAAAUAGAGGAGAGGCUCUCCUCUUGGGGUGAGGGUUCUAAGGUUUCAUCUAGGGUUUUGGGAAGAGAGAGAAAGAAAAGAGAAAAGGAUUUUCUUAAGGGCUUUCUUCUUCUUCCACAUCUUCUUCCUCUCCUAUUCUUCCUACUAUUCCUUUUCAGAGAUCUGUGAGAGUCUGAGUGAUCUAAAGAAGAAAUCAGAUCAACCAUCAGAAGAUAUCUUCUACAAAGGAGCUAUCAUCCUGGUGAAGACACAGGCCUCUAAUUGGAUUGAAGACUUUGUAUAGAUAUCCAUAAAGAUCGGAUAUGUA